UAUCAUUAACUGAAUCCAUAGGUUAAUGAGGCGAACCGGGGGAACUGAAACAUCUAAGUACCCCGAGGAAAAGAAAUCAACCGAGAUUCCCCCAGUAGCGGCGAGCGAACGGGGAGGAGCCCAGAGCCUGAAUCAGCAUGUGUGUUAGUGGAAGCGUCUGGAAAGGCGCGCGAUACAGGGUGACAGCCCCGUACACAAAAGCGCAUGUGCUGUGAGCUCGAUGAGUAGGGCGGGACACGUGGUAUCCUGUCUGAAUAUGGGGGGACCAUCCUCCAAGGCUAAAUACUCCUGACUGACCGAUAGUGAACCAGUACCGUGAGGGAAAGGCGAAAAGAACCCCGGCGAGGGGAGUGAAAAAGAACCUGAAACCGUGUACGUACAAGCAGUGGGAGCACAGGUUUACCUGUGUGACUGCGUACC
rnacentral:rRNA from 1 species